UGAUUUUGGGUUGGCCAAGGAUGGUCCAACGGGUGAUAAGAGUCAUGUGUCUACCAGGGUUAUGGGUACCUAUGGAUAUGCAGCUCCAGAAUAUCUAGCCACAGGUCAUUUGUCUGCGAAGAGUGAUGUCUAUAGCUUUGGAGUUGUUUUGUUGGAGAUGUUAUCUGGAAGGAGAGCAAUUGAUAAAAAUCGGCCUUCAGGAGAACAUAAUCUUGUGGAAUGGGCUAAACCCUAUCUGGCAAACAAACGAAAGAUUUUUCGUGUUCUAGACAAUCGUCUUGAAGGGCAGUAUUCAAUGGAUGUUGCCUAUAAGGCGGCUACGCUUGCAUUGCGUUGCCUAUCCACAGAACCCAAGUUCCGGCCAAACACGGAUGAGAUUGAGACAUUGUUAGAGCAGCUACAGGAUUCCAAAGAAAAUGGAAGCACUAACACCCCUUCAAGCAAUGCACCCAGGAUUCGUAGGCGAAGUGCAGAUGAUGCUAGUGGUGGAAGGAGUGCAGCUGCUUACCCUCGUCCCUCUGCUUCCCCUCUUUGUGCAUGAAAAUGGAAUGAAGUUGAUGAAAGCUGUGUCUCUUUAUAGCUCAAUACGAUGCAGGCGGGUUAGCAACUAUCUUAGUGAAUCAGGGCAUUCAAGUAUAAUUGUCCAAUGACUAUACAGUUCAUGGUUCCGCAGAUGUAUUUGAAAUCUACCUUCUGCUGACAAAAUUUCCAGGUCAGCCUGUGACAUGAGUUCGCACGUUGUUACUCCUCUUAGAUCUACCGAAAUGUGACCCUUAGGGUCUGUUUGGACAAGGGUGAGGGAGGGGUAAAUAAAGGUAUGAAGGGAUAAUUAAUUAUUUUAUCCUUGUUUGGGAAGAGUUGAGUUAAUGGGGGUAAGGGCAAGUAAGGGUAAGGCUUAUCCUCCCUUACCCCUCAAAUCUCAA
rnacentral:misc_RNA from 1 species